rnacentral:rRNA from 11 species
UCUAAGUUUGGUAUACACUAAGAGCACCAGGUCCAUCUGUUCUUGGAAGCUAAACACAGGUUAGCCCUGGUUAUUACCUGAAUGGGAGAUCUCUAAUGAAUCCCAGGUCCUGUUAGAU